rnacentral:rRNA from 1 species
GAUGAACGCUGGCGGCGUGCCUAAUACAUGCAAGUCGAGCGAACAGACGAGGAGCUUGCUCCUCUGACGUUAGCGGCGGACGGGUGAGUAACACGUGGAUAACCUACCUAUAAGACUGGGAUAACUUCGGGAAACCGGAGCUAAUACCGGAUAAUAUAUUGAACCGCAUGGUUCAAUAGUGAAAGACGGUUUUGCUGUCACUUAUAGAUGGAUCCGCGCCGCAUUAGCUAGUUGGUAAGGUAACGGCUUACCAAGGCAACGAUGCGUAGCCGACCUGAGAGGGUGAUCGGCCACACUGGAACUGAGACACGGUCCAGACUUCUACGGGAGGCAGCAGUAGGGAAUCUUCCGCAAUGGGCGAAAGCCUGACGGAGCAACGCCGCGUGAGUGAUGAAGGUCUUCGGAUCGUAAAACUCUGUUAUUAGGGAAGAACAAAUGUGUAAGUAACUAUGCACGUCUUGACGGUACCUAAUCAGAAAGCCACGGCUAACUACG